CAGCAGCCACGGUAAUACGUAGGUCCCGAGCGUUGUCCGGAUUUAUUGGGCGUAAAGCGAGCGCAGGCGGUUAGAUAAGUCUGAAGUUAAAGGCUGUGGCUUAACCAUAGUACGCUUUGGAAACUGUUUAACUUGAGUGCAAGAGGGGAGAGUGGAAUUCCAUGUGUAGCGGUGAAAUGCGUAGAUAUAUGGAGGAACACCGGUGGCGAAAGCGGCUCUCUGGCUUGUAACUGACGCUGAGGCUCGAAAGCGUGGGGAACAAACAGGAUUAGAUACCCCAGUAGUCCCUGUCUCUUAUACC
rnacentral:rRNA from 1 species